rnacentral:lncRNA from 1 species
GGCUUGGGCUGGUGACGCGUGCGCCGGCCGGCCGCCGAGGGGCUACCGUUCUGCCUCCGACCGGUCGUGUAAAUACUAGGCUUUAGAAUUUCACCAUAUGAAUUUUGGGAGAGAGGAGCACAGUUCAGCCCAUAACUAACACACGACGGAAUGAAGUUGAUAAUAGUGAGACCUUGUUGGUACAAGACUAUGUAACAUAACCUGCGCUUCUCAACAAAGAAUUGCUUUUCUGACUUCUGCACUCAAUAGCAAGACAAAUCUCUCCUCUGCCUUCUCCUUAUCAGACUACUCAACAUGAAGGCAAUAAGAAUGAAGACCUCUAUGUAUAAUAAUUGACUUCCACUUAAUAAAUAAGGUUACUUGGUACACUGGUCGACAAAACCUUGAAAUGUUGAUGUUUAAGGGCUGUUGAUUGCUGGCAGCAAAGAAGUCCAACUGUGCUGGUACCCGAGAUAGCGUCUCCACAUUUUCUUCCAGGAUCAUCACCUUUGUUCUAAAUAGCUCCCACAUAGUGUGAACAGAAGUCAUAUGUUUUAGAUUUUCUGCCUUGGCACCCAGGAAACCAGUAUGAUUGAGUAAACAUAUUAAACUUCCUCUGCAUUUCCAGCCUGAACAGAUGUUGAGUACAAGCUGAUCCACCUACGUUCAACCUGAGAGAGUCCACAUCCACAGACUGUUUCAUUUCCCUUUUUCAAUUUACAUAGAAGCAUAGAUUCUUGCUGGCAUAUACAAAUGCGCCAUUUAAGGCAAUCAAAAAUGGUUCCACAUCUCAUCUGAUUUCCACAAUUGUUGCUGUAACGAUGGACUACUGAGGAGAGAGACAAUUUCUCUGGCACAUCUUCCCACAUUUUAGCAACAUGUUCAUGGAGAGCCAAUAUUCAGUAAUUACAGCCCAAUUCCUCACAAUUUCACAAUUCGCUAACAAUAUGCAUUUUCACAAUGUAAAGCUGAUUUUCCUUUAACCAAAUCAAACAUGAAAAGAUAGCUGCAUGCAAUGGGCAAUCUAGAUCAUUAGAAGAUUGAUGUAAAAUUAGAGGACACUGAGACUGGAAUAGAUUGCAAACUUCAGGGAGCUCAGAAAACUUGUAAACUCUACAUUUUGAGGAAAUAUGUUGUCGAUGCUUUUGCAACUCUAUGCAGUAACUUAACAAAUAAAGCCUUA